rnacentral:ncRNA from 1 species
AAUUAAGCGAUAAUAGAGAGAAAGAUAUUUUUGAAUUAACUACAGAGAACCAAUAUUUGCUGAGAGUUGGUGUUAAUAGAAAUAUGUAAUAAUCACUCUUAGCUUCUGCGCUGAAAAAUGGAAAUCUAGUAAGCAAAGACGUGUAACUACGAUAAAUGUUUAGGAUUCACUAAUGACAAUAAUUUGUUAAAGUCGAUCUGAAUGAGUGAUAACUUUUUAGUUAUAAGAUAAGGUGGUACCGCGGAAGCAAUCUUUCGUCCUUAUG